rnacentral:rRNA from 1 species
CCCUUAGAUGUCCUGGGCUGCACGCGCGCUACACUGAUGUGUCCAGUAAGCACCUAACCUCUUCCGAAAGGAACGGGUAACCUUUGCAAAGCACAUCGUGAUGGGGAUAGAUUAUUGCAAUUAUUAGUCUUGAACGAGGAAUUCCUAGUAAGCACAAGUCAUCAGCUUGUGUUGAUUACGUCCCUGCCCUUUGUACACACCGCCCGUCGCACCUACCGAUUGAAUGGUCCGGUGAAGCCUCGGGAUUGUGGCCAGUUCACUUUAUUGGGAGUUGGCUGUGAGAACUUGUCUAAACCUUAUCAUUUAGAGGAAGGUGAAGUCGUAACA